rnacentral:rRNA from 1 species
UACAGAGGGGGCAAGCGUUGUUCGGAAUUACUGGGCGUAAAGGGCGCGUAGGCGGCUUAUCAAGUCAGGGGUGAAAUCCGGCAGCUCAACUGUCGAAGUGCCUUUGAUACUGAUGAGCUCGAGGGAGGUAGGGGUCUGUGGAACUUCCGGUGGAGCGGUGAAAUGCGUUGAUAUCGGAAGGAACGCCGGUGGCGAAAGCGACGGACUGGACCUCUUCUGACGCUGAGGCGCGAAAGCUAGGGGAGCAAACGGG